UACGUAGGGGGCGAGCGUUGUUCGGAAUUAUUGGGCGUAAAGGGCGCGUAGGCGGCCACUCGCGUUAGAUGUGAAAGUCCUGGGCUUAACCUGGGGACUGCAUUUGAUACUGUGUUGCUUGAGUUCGGGAGAGGAUAGCGGAAUUCCCAGUGUAGAGGUGAAAUUCGUAGAUAUUGGGAAGAACACCGGUGGCGAAGGCGGCUAUCUGGACCGACAUUGACGCUGAGGCGCGAAAGCGUGGGGAGCAAACAGG
rnacentral:rRNA from 1 species